ACUCCUACGGGAGGCAGCAGUGGGGAAUAUUGCACAAUGGGGGAAACCCUGAUGCAGCCAUGCCGCGUGUGUGAAGAAGGCCUUCGGGUUGUAAAGCACUUUCAGUAGGGAGGAAGGUAGUGUAGUUAACACCUGCAUUAUUUGACGUUACCUACAGAAGAAGCACCGGCUAACUCCGUGCCAGCAGCCGCGGUAAUACGGAGGGUGCGAGCGUUAAUCGGAAUUACUGGGCGUAAAGCGCAUGCAGGCGGCCUGUUAAGUCAGAUGUGAAAGCCCGGGGCUUAACCUCGGAAUUGCAUUUGAAACUGGCAGGCUAGAGUCUUGUAGAGGGGGGUAGAAUUUCAGGUGUAGCGGUGAAAUGCGUAGAGAUCUGAAGGAAUACCAGUGGCGAAGGCGGCCCCCUGGACAAAAGACUGACGCUCAGAUGCGAAAAGCGUGGGGAGCAAAACAGGAUUAGAUACCCUGGUAGGAUAGCG
rnacentral:rRNA from 1 species